CGAUUCGCGUCCAUCCACCAUCAACAAUCAACUACUCAAACUCACGAAAUCAACAACAUCAGCUAUCCUAAUCUACGGAGCCGAAUCGCAACGGCAUCACCGAAUUGCUCGAGCAUGACGAAAAAGAAGAACAACAACUUACCGGCGAUGACGACGGGAUGACGGAUCGGUGACGGCUACGAAUGGAUCUGCAGAAUUCGAAAGAAGAGCGUUGAGGACUACCGGCGGCGGCGAAAGAAGCUUCGGCGACGCGUUACUUGUUGAUGGUGUGCGAUUACGCCAGAAAGGUUUGGUGCAUCACAGGUUUGAUGAGUCACCGCGUUCUUCUUCCUUCUGUUUCAGUGCUUGCAAUUUUCUUGAAUUCGGUUAGAAUUUCUCCUUGCCGCGAGCUUCGCCUCCACUUGUAUUCAGUGCUCUUCUUCUUCUGCCUUUCUUGGAGUGAUUCUGGUGAGACGUUGAUCGUUGAUGGCGAAGGUUUCGAGAAUUCGUUACGGUGGUUGAAGAUUCUAAGAGUAUGGUUGAAGAUUGAUACAGUGAAUGUCGUUGAAGAAUCGAGGUGGAAGUGGUGGUUUAGCUCUGCCGUGUAGAGCUUCGAAUGAUGAAGCUCCCACAACAAUGGAGGAUGAGCGUGUACUGAAGGUGAGGAUUGAGUGCAGAAGCUUUUUGGAAUCAGGGAAAAAUCUUUCGAACCCAAUGAUUGGCAAUGAUUGCCGCUUAUAUAGCACGAUCCAAGAGCAAAUUGGAGAAUUGGAUUUGGGUGGCUCAAUCUCAUUCGUCCAGCUGGCACUUAAGUGAAUGAGAAGGUUUUCAUGGUUUUUGAUUCUGCAACAGGGUAAUGGUUACGACUCAAAUUCCAUUUCUUGCCUUGCAUUGCCAACUGUUAUGGAUUUUGCUGGUGUAGCCAUUAGAAUCACCUUGAUCCUCUUUUGCAGGUAGCUCUGAAGUUGCAGUGGGAUGCUUGGUUGAUAUGACUUAGCUCAAGUCAAAUGUUCCAACUCUAGUCAUUAUGUAUUGAUCUGGUUAGGUUCCUUGUAGCAUGGCAUUGCAGCAGGAUAGGGUGUUUUAGUUCCCACCAUUUCAGAAACUACACAAUCAGAGAUACAACUGUCACCUGCUAGGGAAGGUUUAACCACAACUCUGCAACAUGAUACGUGUCGGAUUGCAGGUUGUAUGCCCAUGAGUUACUGCAGGAACGUGUUUGUAGCAUGUAAUGCAUGUCCUGUUUUGGGUCUGCAAUAGGGCUUGCUUGGAUGUGACCAGCCUGCUGCAAGAAUGUAAUUUACUUGCAGUUUAGCUUGGUGCAGCUGCUGGCUCAUGCUAGUUCUGCACAAUAGGGUCUGCACCGUAAUUCUGGUUUAGUUCCUUGCCAUGCUCACUCCCUUGGCCUUGUUUCUUUUGGCAAGUCAUGCUCCAACAAAUCCAUCUCUAAAUGCUCUACAUUACUUGGUGUUAAUUGCCUUGAAUUCUAGUAUGUGGCUCACUUUUAUGCAGGUUUUUGAUGGUAUUUAAAUGCAGAAAUUUGGUUUUGGAAUGCAGAAUUUUUGCUGUAUUUUAUGCAGAGUUUUUGUGUGUUUUAUGCAGAGUUUUUAUGCAGAAUUUUGGAUGCACUUUAAUGCAGAAUUUUGUUUAUGCAAUGCAGAAUUUCUAAUGCAGAA